GAUGAACGCUGGCGGCGUGCCUAAUACAUGCAAGUCGAACGCUGGAAAUCUAGCUUGCUAGAUUGAAGGAGUGGCGAACGGGUGAGUAAUACAUAAGCAACCUACCCACGAAGACUGGGAUAAUCUCUGGAAACGGGGACUAAUACCGGAUAGGUAAUCGGAAGGCAUCUUCUGAUUAUUAAAGGUUAAAAACACUGGUGGAUGGGCUUAUGGCGCAUUAGUUAGUUGGUGAGGUAACGGCCCACCAAGACGAUGAUGCGUAGCCGGCCUGAGAGGGUGAACGGCCACAUUGGGACUGAGACACGGCCCAGACUCCUACGGAAGGCAGCAGUAGGGAAUUUUCGGCAAUGGGGGAAAACCUGACCGAGCAACGCCGCGUGAGUGAUGACGGCCUUCGGGUUGUAAAGCUCUGUUGUAAGGGAAGAACGGUAGAUAGAGAAUAUCUAAAUGACGGUACCUUACCAGAAAGCCACGGCUAACUACGUG
rnacentral:rRNA from 1 species